GGCCCCAUCGUCUAGUGGUUAAGGACGCAUGGUUCUCAACCAUGUAACUCGGGUUCGACUCCCGAUGGGGCCACUA
rnacentral:tRNA from 1 species